UACGGGGGGGGCAAGCGUUGUUCGGAAUUACUGGGCGUAAAGGGCUCGUAGGCGGCCAACUAAGUCGGAUGUGAAAUCCCCAGGCUCAACCUGGGAACUGCAUCCGAUACUGGAUGGCUUGAAUCCGGGAGAGGGAUGCAGAAUUCCAGGUGUAGCGGUGAAAUGCGUAGAUAUCUGGAGGAAUACCGGUGGCGAAGGCGGCAUCCUGGACCGGCAUUGACACUGAGGAGCGAAAGCUAGGGGAGCAAACGGG
rnacentral:rRNA from 1 species